CCGCUCGCAGCUGGGUAGCGGGGAGCGCGGGCUCCAAAGAGCAUCCCAGGCGGAGGCAGGGCUGGAUGCGCGUCCAUCUAAGGGGUCGGCAACAUUUCUUAAAAUGCUGAAGUUGCUAGAAAGCUGACUCCUCCUGGGUCCUCCUCCUGCUUUUUCCCUGAAUCUGGAAAAGUCCCCUUAUCUUCCUCCACUUCUUCACACAAUGUGAGCAGUCCUAAGUCAGACCUUCCUGGUUUUGCAAGCCCUGACUCUCCCCCACCUGGGGUGACUACCUUAAAUCAGAAAUGAAGGUGGGGCUGUUUCAAUUACCUUUUGGUUAGAUCUGCUUAGGGGGCUUUCUUCUUUCUUUUGGGGUCUUCUGUCGACCCUGCCUUCUCCCUUGCAGUGAUUAUGCCAGGAGUUUGAGAGAAGCAUUAUGGAGGACAAUGGUGUAGUCACAUAAUUUCCAAAGACUCAGCAAAAAUAUAGUUGGACCCUGCCUGCUGUCUGUGUAGACCAGUGGGUGCUUCUGGGAGACAGGGACUGGGUUUCUUUGGGCUCCCUUCAACUACUCUUAAAAAGCUUUACUAAUACCUAGGGACCAACCUAGGAUCUCCAGAAGGACAUCAAGUCUCCCCCUAGUUCGAAGGAGAGGACAGCACCGCCUAUUAUCAUUUGCAGGGACCAGUGCAUAAGGAAAAUAGCAGCUCCUUAUUCAACUCAUUAAGAAUGUCCAGAAGGCGAGCAGUGUUAAACCAAGCGCUGAGCCCUCUUCUUGGAAGACUCGUGGGUGUACACAGAUUUCAUCCUGUUAUUCAGCAGAAUAUGGAGACUUCAUCUAAAAUUGAAAAAUGAAAAUGACCUUUGAGGAAAGCAUUGUUUUGCAAAAAUGCUCUUGACCAACAAUGGAAAAAGAACAUACUGCAGUUUCGAUUGUUGUGGGACUCAGGUUUUCUCUCAGCACUGCAUAAACACUUGGAGACAUGGGAAGAAGGUCUGAUGGAGAAUGAGGCUCAGCUGAAUCGCUUCGGCUUAAAAAGAUAAGACGUGAAGUGAGCAGCACUCCAACUCACUAGGGAGAAAACCAGAGCUUUACAAUUGACUGUGAGGGGCCCCGCGGCCAAGACCGGCUGCUGGCUGCAGUAAUCAUUACUAACCACUCUGCUACAGCUGGACAGCCCCACUGGGCCUUCUUCCAGAGCUGCUACUACACCACUUUAUUUCUAAGGCUUUGACCUCCACAGGCCCCUGAGAUCUUAUAAGCAACCAAGUAAACAUAAAAAGAAAAACUUCAUUUGCUGCAAUAUGAGGUUAUUUUCCAAAAACCUUAAGGAAACAAGUAAAUAUAAGGAACUUAACCUUCGCAUGGCUGAGAGCUGUAGUGUUUACCAAAGGCUUUGUCUUUGGGAAUGUCAGGAUACAGAUACUUCAGAGGGUUUUCAGGAAUGUUUUCUGCCAUGAUAACCUUGUAGUCUCGAAGGAUGUCAGCGAAGGGCAGAGCAGACAACCGACCUUUAUUGUAGGGUUCUACAGAGUGGAAUCUUACUUCUCCUGGAAAAACAGGAAGUGGGGAGUAUUCAGGUUCCUGCAGGCAUUCUUUGUGGCCUUUCUUCCUGCCCACACUACCUUCAUGUCGCUGGUUAUAAACAAUGCAGCCCUUCUCAGCAGAUUGUCACAUGAUGGAGGACACCCACACAGACUGUGAGAAAUUCAUAGCCCUGUUCUGGGAUCAUUGUAACAACUAAUAUUCAAACCCACUGAACACGUGAAAAUCAGAAGAAAACAUCAUACCACAUACUUCUGAAAACUGAGAUACUAAUAACCAAACUCAAGAAUCUUGCAGUCACAUGAAUAAAUAGUAGUGAGCAUGUACCAUUUUCUGAAUGGUCUACCCAAGUGAAAGUUAUUCCUCCAAGAUGGCUUUCACUGAAUCUCAACAAAAAGGUUCCAGGCAUUUUGUCCUUCAGCAAGAGUCGUUCCUUCUCUUUGCUAACAAAACCCAUGACAUACCUAAAAACAGAACAAGGCAUAGUUUUAUCUACUCAUGACAGUAAUUUAUUGCGUUCAUGUUUAGUUCAUUUGCAAAGAAAAGAGCUAAAUUUGUUUUUAGUAUAGUCAAAAGUCAGUGGUGCCUGAGAUAGUCUUUUACAGAUUAAAUAUCCUCACUCUACGAAAAAUGCAAGAAACUACAACUAUUUCCCCCACCACCACACACACUAAAUAUGCUUAAAAAUAAGACAAAAAAGCAAGCAAACAAACAAACAAGCAAAAAACCCAAUCACAAACCAACAGCAAAAAUACAAAAAUCUAAUGACCUAAUGGAAAAGAUAAUCUAUAACUCACCCGUCAAUCCAAAGGGGAAGAAUAUGUUUCUUAAUUAGAUCUAAUAUUGCUUCAAGCCAUGUCCAAAAGGUAAAUGAUUUACCAGGUAAGUGUUCCUAUCAAAUAAACACAUUAGGACCGUGAUCAUUUCAACAGUAAUGGUGACAAUAAUUCAAGUUUCAUUUUUUAAGAAAAUAUUUUCUUUUAAAUGAAACAAGACUUUAGAAUUUCUUAAAAAAAAAAAAAAACAAAAAAACCCCAAUCCAGGAAAUCCUCAAAAUUCUGGAUUAUUCUGUGGAAAUUUAGAAAGGGAUACUAUUUUUUAAAAGUGAUGAUUAAAAUGAUAUUCCCCUCUCCACUGUUUGUACCUUGCAGAACUUUGCCCAGGUGAGAUGACCAUCAUUGUAGCUAGACUGGGCUGAAAUAAAAUAAAACAAUGAGCUUUUUAUUAAACAAUUAGAUGAUUGUUCCAUUUGGUACUCAAUUUAGAUUCUCUUCUCCCCCCACUCAUACAUGCACUUCUUGAGCAUGCUGAUUAUAGGUUAUUUAAUAUUUGAACAGUAAAAAUAUAAGAUAUGAAAUUUAUUAUAUGGGAAAGAAUUCUUUUAAAAGGAAGAGCUAAAGAUAUAAAGAGGGCCAGUUUAAGUUAAGGAACAGGCCCUAGGAAAGGGUAGAAUGUAAAUUGUCAGAAGAGAGGAAGGAGGUCACUCUAGUAGCAAAAAUAAUGUAGGAAGAUUUAUGGUGGACAUGAAAUUGACUUAAGUAGGAGACAGGAAGAACAGUCUAUGGUUGGUGAACAAACAUUAUAAAACGUUACCAGCAGUCUUCACUGUUAUGAUUAAAAGUAUGACCUAGAGAUACAUUAGGUAAUAAGAAGCCAUUAUUUUUAAUCCAGGGCAGUGAAAGGAUUCAAGAGUUUCUAAAAUUUUAAGAAAAUUAUACUCAUAAUUUUAUUAAAAAGAAUAAUUUGUUAAAAAUCUGAAAGGAUAUGAAGGAUAUGGCUACUAUCUAUACAACACAUUUAAAAGCUUGAUUCACCUAUUAAAUAUUUAUUAAGUACUGUUAUUAUAGUUUGCUGCAUAGAUACAUCAUUGGUUCUUCUGACUUAACUGGAAAUGUACACAAACUCAUUUUCCCUCUGCUUUUUUGGUGCUAAAUGUGUUCACCCAGACUUGUCAAAAUACAGAUAUCUUUUAAGAAUUCUUUUAGGAAAAACUAUAGUCACUACCAGGAGUUCCAAUGACACAAUUUUGCAAACUUUAAAAAUAUCAGUCAAAGAUGAAACAGUCUUGCUAUGCAAAAUUAAGUAUUACCUGGGUGAUUUUAAGUUUUUAUUAAAUUUCUUGGUUUUUGUGAAGGAGUCAGCUAUUUUCCAGUUGGUUGAUGAGCAUUAUGAUAUUAAUAUGAAUGAUCAAGGCACUAUUAAGGCUUCAUAUUACAUUCAGUGGAAAUGAUACAAGAACACCCUGGAUACUGGAGUAUGGAGUGGGAAAAAGGGGACUUUAGAACUGGCCAGGUCUCGCCUGAGUCUUAACUCUGCUUUGUACUAGCCAUGCAGCUGUUGCAAGUCACUUAAUAACAGUUAUAACAACUGAAGUAUCCUCAUCACAUCAUCCUCAUUUAUAAAAUGGAGACUGUUCUGCCUAAAGAACCUGUGAGACUUAAAGAUGAUGUAGCAUUUAGGCAUGUAUCUGGUAAUAUAGUCACUUAAUAAAUUGUGAUGACCACUGAUAUUAUUAAUAAUGGUUAUAUCACCUGGUUCUUUAAAACACUCAAGUACCAAAAACAGAGGCAGGGCCUCCAUAUCACCCAGCUCUCACCUGUGAGCUUCUCUGCCAGCAUAUUGAGUUGAUCUGAAUUAAGGCCCCGACCCACAUAAGAUGAAAACUGCCAGCUCAUCACUUCUAGGAGUUGACUCAAAGUAGCAGAUGGAGGAUUAUUAAAGAAAACCAAGUUCUGAAAUAGAGUUGUAAUGAUAAUUAUAUUUAUUACUCACUCUGAAAACACCAUGAUGGAUUAUUACAUUCCUGAUUUAAACUUACUAGGCCAAGCUAAAUCGACAACACAGAAAAUAAUUUCACCUCUGCUGUGCUUUUCAAAACUGUUUUUGUUUAUUCUUAAAGAGUUCCUUGUUUGUUGAGAUUAAUAUAAUACAGGGCCCCACCUUAUCCUUGAAGGAAACUCUGAAUAUCUCUUUAACUUUCUCUAGACUAUCAAUACCAGUAUCUUAAACUUUCACAAUAUUACAUGUCAACUAUAUCUCAAUAAAGCUGGAAAAAGUAAUCAGAC